rnacentral:rRNA from 1 species
UACAGAGGGUGCGAGCGUUAAUCGGAAUUAUUGGGCGUAAAGCGCGCGCAGGCGGUCUGGAAAGUCUAUGGGUGAAAUGCCGGGGCUCAACCCCGCGCAUGCCCAGGAUACUGUCAGACUGGAGACACGUAGAGGCAAGCGGAAUUCUCGGUGUAGCGGUGAAAUGCGUAGAUAUCGAGAGGAACACCUGCGGCGAAGGCGGGUUGCUGGGCUGACACUGACGCUGAGGCGCGAAAGCUAGGGGAGCGAACGGG